GGGGGGAGCAAGCGUUGUUCGGAUUACUGGGCGUAAAGGGCGCGUAGGCGGCCACCGCAAGUCGACUGUGAAAUCUCCGGGCUUAACCCGGAAAGGUCAGCCGAUACUGCGGGGCUAGAGUGCAGAAGGGGCAACUGGAAUUCUCGGUGUAGCGGUGAAAUGCGUAGAUAUCGAGAGGAACACCUGCGGCGAAGGCGGGUUGCUGGGCUGACACUGACGCUGAGGCGCGAAAGCUAGGGGAGCGAACGGGAUUGGAUACCCCGGUAGUCCUAGCCUUAAACGAUGAAUGCUUGGUGUCUGGGGUUUUAUAGUCCCCGGGUGCCGUCGCUAACGCUUUAAGCAUUCCGCCUGGGGAGUACGGUCGCAAGACUG
rnacentral:rRNA from 1 species